rnacentral:rRNA from 1 species
GAGCGAGCAAUUCUCUCUGAAUCUGCGAACGGCUCCGCAAACCAGUUGUAAACCGAGGCGAGGAUGCCCACCCCCUGUCCGGGUAAAACCGGGCUGUGGGGUGCGGUUAUAGGGAUACCCCUGGUAAUUCUGAGGCUAAUACUCGUUUCGUACCCCCUGGACCACCCCAUUUGCAAGGUGGCUGGGGACCGUGCGAUCCGGAUAAAGGCGGUAGGAUUUUUUUAAAUAAAAAAUUACCACGAAAGGGCGCACAGUCAAACCGCGGAACUCUCUUUUAAUUAAGGGGGGGACCGGCUUUUUGCCGGUCCUCGCGGGUCUUGCACGGUGCUUCUGACCUAUCAACUGUACGGCAGUGUCAGGGACGUGCCGUGGUUACAACGGGUACAGAGGAUUAGGGUUUGAUCCCGGAGAGUGGGCCUGAGAGAUUGCUCACACUUCUAAGGAAGGCAGCAGGCGCGUAACGUUCCCAUUGGGCAAAGCCCGAGGGCGUUAGGGGACAUAUGAAUGUCCGCCGAAAUGGUGGACAAUUCAAAUGGGACCGGUCUAAACCGCCCAUCGAGUAACAAUUUAGAGGACAAGUCUGGUGAACGGACGGACGGGGGGGGGGGGGGUGAACGAGGCGUUAGGGGCUAUGAUGUCCGCCGAUGGUGGACAAUUCAAUGGGACCGGUCUAAACCGCCCAUCGAGUAACAAUUAGAGGACAAGUCUGGUGAACGGACGGACGGGGGGGGGGGGUUGGAUUCCUUGUUAAGGUUUUUCGAAAUAAAUUCCCCCUCCCCCCCCCCCCCCCCCCAAAUGUCUACUACUGCGUAGUAGGCAGAAAGUCGGUCAGCUCCGACUGUACAACCGUAAAUUGCGGGAAAAGCCAGCCAUGACUGGGGUACCAAAGCCCCCGGGAAUUUUAACCGGUGGUCGCGUUUUCACCUUUUCCGUCCUCCCCGUCUUCACCCCCACCCACCACCCCUUCCGAGGGGCAGUGAGCGAGGGAGAGGGGGGCGGUUCGGGUGAAGACCGGGUAACAAUCCUCACUCAGGAGUCCUUUGUCCGGGACUGUAUCCAACUGGCCAAUCCGCAGCCAAAUUGUUAAAAUCCCCGCCCCCCCGGGGAAGUGCGAGAGGUUCAGAGACUAUUAUCGGUUGGGCGCAAGCUUAAGGGAUAGUCCAUUCCCCCCAGCAAUGGGGCCGGCGGAAGUAUCGGGGGAUUCGCUCCCCCCGAGAGGCACGCCCGGGUCCUUCGAAGGUGUGGGUUAAAUGCCACUCCGAUGAAACGGGACGGUAUAGCAAGGCCAGCACCCGCGGUAAUUCCAGCUCUAAUAGCAUACGUUAAAGUUGUUGCGGUUAAAACGCUCGUAGUCUGCAUCAGACCGUCAGAAACCGGAGCCCGCGAACCCUUUCCGAAGCCCUUCCCGGGCACGCGGUUGGGGACCUCGCGGCGAAGGCGGACGUCGGUCGAAAGCGGUCCAGGACGUCUUUCUUCGCCCCUCCCCUCCGGGGGAGACCAGGUGGGGACUGUUUGUACAGGGUAAUUUCGUCCGUCCUUUUCGGGUGGCGAUUUUGCCUGGUCCGGGCUGCCGUUUACCAUGACCAAACCGGCGUGUUCGAGGCAAGUCUAUCCCGACUCGUACGGAGCAGCAUGGCAUAACUAAACCCGGCUCGAUCCGAUGUUGAGACCCAAAAAAGGUCCCUACCGCUGGGGUUGAGCCGGGUAGAUGCGAAAGGGGUGUUCGAGGGUGACCGAAUUGCCAGGCGAGCGGUGAAAUGUGUUGACCCCGGCAAGUCGACCAAAGGCGAAAGCAGUCAUCAAGGGCACGCCCGUUGAUCAAGAGCGAAAGUUAAGGGUUCGAAAAUGAUCAGAUACCGUUGUAGUCUUAACUAUAAAUGAUACGGACCGGAGACGGGACAAUGUCCUUCUCGACUCCUCCCGGAUCCUAAAGAAAUUUAAGUGUUUGGGUUCCGGGGGGAGUAUGGUCGCAAGGCUGAAACUUCAAAACCCCCCCCGUGGGGUUUCGAGAGUCGGCCCGAAAGGGUCCGGCUAGUCCCGGUGGGGAAUCGGGGGAGCGAUCUCCUGAUCCCCGCUACCGGUGAAUUUGACCACCGGUUUGUAACCCAGGCCAACCACCGGUCAAAUUGUUCGGGAACCCCCUAAAAGCUCACGCUACCACCUGCGCGGUUAACGACCGAAAAAAUCAAGGGCCCCGACCCCCUACCGGGGAUAGCCGCUUGCGCACGGAACCAGGGUAAUGACCUCGGGCACGGUAAAAACGCGUGAGAUGAUGACGACCGGGAUGGAGCGGAUGGGGGCAAGCCUCCACCCCACCCCACCCCGGUCUGAUGAAAUGGGAAACCUGCAGCCAAGCCCGUUCAAAAGGCUCCCUCUUCCGGCCGGGGGGGGGGCAAACGGGUGCAGUUCACAGGCCAAAUGUCGGUGGGCUCCCGUUUCCCGAGCCGCGAAAGCGGUGAGGACAAGCGGGGGCAUAAGAUAUGGUCGGCCCCCCGGGGAAACUCGGGGAAACAAGCGUAAAGGAAUUGACGGAAGGGCACACAAAGAGUGGAACCUGCGGCUUAUAAUUUGACUCGAGUUAGGCCGCAAGAGUCGGGAUCGAGAAUGGUUGGUUUAACCGGUGUAUCUCCGGGGGCGGUCAAAUAUUUUGCGGGAUGCAUCGCGAUAUCGAUAAAAAAACGCCGGUUAAACGCAGCUUGCCUCGAUUUUUGCCGGCUAGUCGAUCUCCCAAGCGAGGGUUGAGCGGGAUGACGGCGAGACAACCUGGUACGAGGGAAAUCUGUCAAAGACUACCCCUCCCCCGGACUUUGUCCGGGUGGGGGGGGGGUCUACACUCAGACAAUCUCAUGGCGAGCUACCUCCGGGCGACCGGGGGAUAGCCGUCGUAACGCACGGAAAGGUGUCGGGUGCUCUCGGGGGAUUUCGUCCUCUCUCGGACGAAGCCCCGAGGCAUCUUAAGGAACGUGCUACUCCCACCCCGCGAGGGUGUCCCCCGGACCCGAGCUCUCAACCAGCGAAGGGUCCCCCGGGAGGCCGCUUGAUCCCCAGAGGAAAUGCUGGGGUUAAGGCCGGUACAGUCUGACCCCCCCCCCCCCCCCCCCGGGUCGGACUUUAGGUAAUUUGACUCAACACGGGAAAACUCACCGGGUCCGGAUACGCGAAUGAAAGACAAGCCGGAGACUUUUCUAAAUGACGUAAGUGGUGGUGCAUGGUCGUUCUUAGUUCGUGGAUCGAUUUGUCUGGUUGAUUCCGAUAACGAGCGAGACCCCGAUGAUCCUAGUAGGGGCGGGAGCCCGGCUUGCCGCGAGGCUUGCUAGCACCCGUCCUCUCGAUGCUUCUUAGACAUAUCGGGGCCGAAAAGGUCCCUGAGAUGGGUUAAUAACAGGUCAGUCAUGCCCUUAGAUGUUCCGGGCCGCACGCGCGUUACAAUGGCACGACCCAGAGAGUGCUCGACAAUAAGGGCUAUCCCGGGACCUUCGGGUCUCGGUAACCCGUAAGUCUAGCCUUGACGGGGACAGAUUUUUGCAAUUAUUGGUCUCCAACGAGGAAUUUUUAGUAAGCGCCGGUCAUUAACCCGUGCUGAAUGAGUCCCUGCCCUGACGGGCACCGGUGGUUGCCCGGACGAAAACCUCCCGAACCCCCCACCCCCGCUGUAAACCCCGGGACCUCUCCCGCUCUGCCCUCGCUUCCGCGAUUCCCCCCCUGAAGAAACGGGUUUAUCCCGGACUAAUCCGGGGUUGGGGACGAGGAAACCACGGGGACACAGCCCGAGAGAGAACGGGGUCCGCGGUGGGGACGGGUCUAGGGUAAGCAGUAGUCCGAAGAUCAUCGGUAAAAGGGGCAAAAAGGCACGCGCGAACCCCGGAGCCUAGUCCGAGGGAGCUCUCGCAAGAGGGCUCCCGGCGCCCGAAAGUACGGGCGACCCAUCCCUUCCGGGUUUGGGGCGGGCUACACUGGCCUAAAAGAGCGGAAACGUCCUGCCCCAAAUGCCCCCUACCUACCAAGCCGCUGUUUGAAAAGACGCGGUGGCCUCCGGGUAAUGCCGGAGGGUACGGUAACAACGGUACGGGGGCUGGGACGAAUCUGCACAAGCUCGGGGUCCCCUUCCCCUCGGGGGAUGGGGAUCUACGGGUGCAGUUACCAGACCAAACGCCAGUGGGUGAGACCGAACAAAGCCGGAGGGAGGAAGGACCAAAAAAACUCCUCCCCCCCUCAGGCUCUGGGAGGUCUCGCUUAAGAUACGGUCGAAUCACCUCUCAUCCCCCCGGUUAAAUCCGGGAGGAGAGAUGAUUUUUUGGUAAGCUUCGUUGAAGCGAGCGAUCGCCCAAUGGGAGCCUUCUGAACUGGAUUCAAUUACGAAAAAAGGAGGGGUAGCCCCGGGAUUAUCCCGGGGCUCAUCGGUGAUCCUUAAUUCCGAGGACGGACGACCCCUUGCUUUGCCCAUACAUCGAGGUGCCAAAGGGUACCCCCUUUGGAUAUUUUUCGAGCCGGAUGGUCCACCGGCAUUUGGGAUUUUUAAUGCUCCGACAAAGUCGGACGAUUUUGAAAGCCGAAAAAAUUUUUGAGCUCUGGUCAAGCUCAAAAAUCGUGCCCCGAGAAUCUCGGAGCAACAUACGUACGCCCGCCCGUUGCCCGCCGGUCUGAUGGGGUUUAGACCGUGCUGGUAAAAAAAGAAAUCCCCUCCCCCCCCGGUCCUGGUAGCGUGCCCGGGGAUCGUACAACCGGCUUUGGCCGGUUGUACACACCGCCCGUCGCUGCUACCGAUUGGGUUUUGCGGUUACGAGUUCAGAGGACGGGGUCAGCGCCUGCUCU